rnacentral:rRNA from 1 species
GACGAACGCUGGCGGCGUGCCUAAUACAUGCAAGUCGAACGCAGUGGGGACGGGUGAGUAACACGUGGGUAACCUCCCAUAAGAGGGGAUAACACUUGGAAACAGGUUCUAAACCGAUAACGAUGGAUGGACACGCGGUGCAUGAGCUGUUUGGUGUGGUAACGUCUCACCAAGGUCACGAUGCAUAGCCGACCUGAGCGGUGGACCGGCCACACUGGGACUUAGAAACGGCCCUGACUCCUCGGGUAGGCAGCGUUAGGGAAUUUUCGGCAAUUGACGAAAGUUUGACCGAGCAACUCCGCGUGAGUGAAGAAGGUUUUCGGAGCGUAAAACUCUGUUGUUAGAGAAGCGGUAUCUAACCAGAAAGCCACGGCUAACUACGUGCCAGCAGCCGCGGUAAUUC